rnacentral:lncRNA from 1 species
AUCCUGGGGGCCCUAUAACAACGUCGUGAACCAGAAAUGGCCCACACAAAGACUUGGACACAAAUGUUAAUAGCAACAUUAUAAUUGCCCCAAACUGGGAACAGUACAAAUGUCCACCAGCUGAUGAAUGGAUAAACCAAGUGCAGUGCAAUGAAACACUGAUUAGCAAUAAAAAAGAAACAAAUUACUGAUACAAACUAUAACCUGGGUGAACAUUACGUCAAAUGAAAGAAGCUAAACACAAAAGACCACGUGUUGUAUGAUUCCAUUUAGAUGAAAUAUCCAGAAUAUGCAAAUCCAUAGAAAGAAAGUAGAUUAGUGGUUGCCCAGAGCUGUGGGUGACAGUGGGGAAUGAUUGUAAGUAAACUUGAGGAAAUUCAGGGGUGUGGGGAGGGUGUUGAUGGGAAUGUCCUAAAACUGGAUUAUAGUGAUGAUUGUACAAUUCUAUGAAUUUACUAAAAAUCAUCAAAUUGAACACUUACAAUGAGUGGAUUUUAUGGUAUAUAAAAUAUACCUCAAUAAAGCUGCUGCCCCACCCCCAAAAAAAUAUUUAACCUAUUAAAAUCAGUGUUUCCCACUAUCAUGGGCUUCUUUUUCCUUGGAAUCCUCAUUAACAUCCAUGGAAUAUAGGCUGCUCUAAAUAAAGAUUUUUUUUCACUAGAAUCUAAGCUCCAUUCAUCCCAGGAUUUUGUCAUGUCUUAAAAACCCAUUUGGCAAGCAUCCUGGAGUCUAUUUGCAUGAGGGACCAAGAGCUUCCUAUUGGAAGAGAGAAUUGCAGAGCACAUCUUGGUCAUAAGCCCGGUGGAUUACUGCUGAAAGGAAGGAUAAUUCUGAACCUCUUCACCAGGCUCUGUCCAAUCUUGAUGGUGUAUCAAGAGCCCAGAAUGUGCCCAGGUGCAGUGGCUCAUGUCUGUACUCUCAGCACUUUGGGAGGCCAAGUUGGGUGGAUCACCUGAGACCAGGAGUUUGAGACAAGCCUGGGCAACAUGGAGAAAGCCCAUCUCUGAAAAUCGUACAAAAAUUAGCUGGGUGUGAUGGUGCACACCUGUAGUGCCAGCUACUAGGGAGGCUGAGGCAGGGAGGAUGGCUUGAGUGGCUUGAACCCGGGAGGCGGAGGUUGCAGUGAGCUGUGAGCAUGCCACUGCACUCCAGCCUGGGUGACAGAGAAAGACCAUGUAUUAAAAAAAAAGAAGAAAGAAAGCAAGCCCAAAAUAUAGCAACUCUGCUGUGAACAAUAACAAAAGAUGGUCCCCUUAGCCAAGAUACCAGAUACCAGUAUCCUCAGGGCCCACCCAUAGAGAGCUGAGCACAUCUGGUGGUCCCUUUAGCAGGAGUCGGUAGCAUCUGUGACUUCACUUGCAGUCAGUUUUGGCAAGAGAUUCACCCCAGUGAGUCAGGGCAGAAGAAGAAAAUGGCAGACAUCCCAUGCUUAGAAGGACUGGAUACCCUUGGGUACUCCUGGAACUAUUUGGCAGGAAUUUGGUGGACACUGAGGCAUUAUAGGGACAAAGCCCGAGAAAAUGUUAUUUGAGAACCUUAUUGUAAUUCUAUUUUAUAUAAAGAAAGAGAAGAGUCAACACACUCAGACGGGUACUAAUGAGAUAUUCAUAUGUGUCAGCUUUGUGGAAAGGGGUGAGGUUCCAGACACACUCCCCCAAAAUUUGGCACCUUGGCAUUUGAGAAAACAGCAGAAGCAGGAGGGGCUUUCUGUCCUUCCCCUUCCCCUUCUCCCCUGAAGCAGAUUGUAAAAAUGUGUUCUGACUUUCCUCUAAAGUAGGUCAUAAAAUCUUCAUUCCAGAAGUGCCCACCCUAUACCCACAGGAAAAGAAUAUCCUUAUCUCUGAAGACACAGGGACACAGAGAUGAAACUGAGCAGACAGGCCUUGGUAAAUUCCCCCAGCUCAUUCUCAUGAGACCAUGCCCUUUUGUCCUCCAAUCAUAUUGCUGCACAACUGUCCAGAACAAUAAACAGUUCUCCUGUUUUUUUGGAGAGUCUUCAUUUCUGAAGGCUCCCAUGUCACAUAAAACUUAUAUUAAAUAAAUUUGUGUGCUUUUCUCUUGUUAAUCUGUCUUUCAUUAUAGGGGUCUCAGCCACUAUCCUAGCAACGAUAAGAAAGAAUACCUUUUACUUUAGUUCCCAUCCUAAUUGAGAUGGUCAUAGCAAUAGUGAGUACUGAGUGAGGGCAUGGGACUCCGUACAAAAUAGUCUUUUGUGUUAGAGAAAGUCCACUGGACUACUGGAGACAGGACCUGAAUCAUAGUCCCAUCCCUGCCAUAAAGGCAU